AUUGAACGCUGGCGGCAUGCCUUACACAUGCAAGUCGAACGGUAACAGAUCUUCGGAUGCUGACGAGUGGCGAACGGGUGAGUAAUACAUCGGAACGUGCCCGAUCGUGGGGGAUAACGAAGCGAAAGCUUUGCUAAUACCGCAGACGAUCUACGGAUGAAAGCAGGGGACCGCAAGGCCUUGCGCGAACGGAGCGGCCGAUGGCAGAUUAGGUAGUUGGUGGGAUAAAAGCUUACCAAGCCGACGAUCUGUAGCUGGUCUGAGAGGACGACCAGCCACACUGGGACUGAGACACGGCCCAGACUCCUACGGGAGGCAGCAGUGGGGAAUUUUGGACAAUGGGCGAAAGCCUGAUCCAGCCAUGCCGCAUGCAGGAUGAAGGCCUUCGGGUUGUAAACUGCUUUUGUACGGAACGAAAAGACUCUGGUUAAUACCUGGGGUCCAUGACGGUACCGUAAGAAUAAGCACCGGCUAACUACGUGCCAGCCGCCGCCGUAA
rnacentral:rRNA from 1 species